CAUGAAACAGACUGUUGUCCACCAGAAAGUGCCUGCGGUACUGCACACAGUUCCUUUUCUCCAAGUUCCAGUAACUCAUUGUCAGAAGAUUUCUGGCACAGCAUCAAAACCCAAUUACCUGUAGAACUUUGAAUGUUCGGGGAGAUGAAGGAUUCCUCGAAGUCCUCGGCGGAGGAGCGACCUCCAAAGUGCUGCCGUUGAAGAGUUAUUGGCCCCUGUGAUUCCAACUCCAAAACCCUGUCGAGGGGCAGAAAAGCUCCCCAGAAGGGCACUUCUCCACACCACCCUGCAGAAACCUCGGAGACCCGCUGAGCAAAGUGGGGCGCCUCCGCCACAACCUGCUUUCUCAUUCAAAUC
rnacentral:lncRNA from 1 species